AUGCUUCAUGCACGCUUGCCCUCAGCGCUGGAGCCACUGGAUACCGCUAGCUCAGUUCUGGUACAACUCCUCCUUCCACUCCAGUAUCGGUAUGUCACCCUUCAAAGCAAUGUUUGGCCACGAACCACGGCACUGGGGGAUCACAGCAACCAGCAAAUGUACAGUUCCUGCUUUGCAAACGUGGCUCGACGAACGAGCAGUAAUUCAAGACUUGCUCCAGCAACACCUCCACCGAGCGCAGCAGCAAACGAAAGCCCAAGCAGACAAAAAAAUGCUCCCCUCGAGCUUUCUCAGUGGGAGACGCAGUUUACCUCAAGUUUGCAGCCUUACAUUCAUACAUCAGUGGCUCGCCGCGCCAACCACAAGUUAUCUUUCAAGUCCUUUGGGCCUUUCAAGAUCAUAGCUAAGAUCAACGAGGUUGCUUACAAACUGGACCUCCCGGCGCACUCCAAAGUGCAUCCGGUGUUCCACAUUUCUUUGCUGCGCCACUAUCUCACCCCGGGUACUACAGCUUCAGCUUCCUUACCAGCUCAUUCUGACAUACCGGUGGUGCUUGUUGCAGUAUUACAGCAGCGGUGGCGGCAGAAGAUUGGAUCGAUGAUUGAGCAGGUGCUCGUUCGUUGGUCCAAUCAUGCAGCACUCCAGGACACCUGGGAGGACAAGCUGGCUCUCCAGGCCCGGUUCCCGGCUGCAAAGGCUUGGGGGCAAGCCUCUUCGCAAGGAGGAGGGGAUGUCAGCGCCCCUACACCAGCCAUCUCCAAUGGGCACACUGACAAGGGUGGCCCAAGCACUGGGGGCUCGGCCAGCUCACCCCCCAGCCCAAGGCCCUUGAGGAACAGAUGGACCAAUGCACGUGUCGCUUGGCCAGAGUGGACGCAGUGA
rnacentral:rRNA from 1 species